rnacentral:tRNA from 1 species
GGAGAUGUGGCUGAGUGGUUGAAAGCGGCACCGUGCUAAGGUGUUAGGGGGGCAACUCCCUCGGAGGUUCGAAUCCUCCCAUCUCCG